UGGGGAAUAUUGCACAAUGGGCGCAAGCCUGAUGCAGCCAUGCCGCGUGUAUGAAGAAGGCCUUCGGGUUGUAAAGUACUUUCAGCGGGGAGGAAGGGUGUAAAGUUAAUACCUUUGCUCAUUGACGUUACCCGCAGAAGAAGCACCGGCUAACUCCGUGCCAGCAGCCGCGGUAAUACGGAGGGUGCAAGCGUUAAUCGGAAUUACUGGGCGUAAAGCGCACGCAGGCGGUUUGUUAAGUCAGAUGUGAAAUCCCCGGGCUCAACCUGGGAACUGCAUCUGAUACUGGCAAGCUUGAGUCUCGUAGAGGGGGGUAGAAUUCCAGGUGUAGCGGUGAAAUGCGUAGAGAUCUGGAGGAAUACCGGUGGCGAAGGCGGCCCCCUGGACGAAGACUGACGCUCAGGUGCGAAAGCGUGGGGAGCAAACAGG
rnacentral:rRNA from 1 species